ensembl:lncRNA
CUCCGGCGGGUCGCGCGCGCGGGCUGGGGGCCGAUCCCGGUCCCCGCAGGCGAGGCAGCCCGCUUCGCAGCCGCUCCUUGGCGCCCUAAAACAAGUAGCCCCAACGUGAGAGAAACAAAAGUUGCUCUAGGAGAAGCCAGCUGCCUGAAGAUACUCAGGCAGCCAUGUGGAGAUGAAUUGUGGCUUUCUGCCAACAGCCAUAUGAGUGAGCCAUCUUGGAAUCAUCCUCCAGCCCCAGACAAGCCUUCAGCUGACUGUCGCCCCAGCUAACAGCUUGACUGAAACCUCACGAGAAACUCUGAGCCAGAACCAAUCAGCUAAGCUGCUCCCUGAUUCCCGACCCUCAGAAACCUUGUGAAGUCCCACUCAAAAUUGGCAGUCCUUUGGGUUACUUGGUAAAUGGAUCAGAGCAGGACCACAAUGUGCUACACGUUGCCUCUGAAAUUCAUACUCCUACAAGUGUGCUUCCUAAUGGUCCUAUUGCUACGAUGUCAUCAUUGAAGAAGCAGGCAUCUUGUAUGAGUGACCUCACUGCCCAGUGUAACUGGUUGUAGAGAAGUCUCAGUGGAAGGCUGGCCAGACCACCAGCCAGCAAUGGUGGUGCCUGUGGUUGGGCUCCAGUAUCCAGAACUAUGAAGGAAAAAGCAUAACUUUACAGUGGAGAAAUUUGUCAGACAGCAUUUUAACCAACGAUCAAAGUGAACAUCAUCAGUAUUUGAGGCAGGCUGACAAGCUGAAAUUGGGUGCCACCUGAUAUGAUGCACUGAGAAGAACGCAGCGCCGCUCUUGCGAUGGUGAUGCAUAACCCGAAUCUGGUCAAGAUGAAACAAAUAGAGGGAGAGUCUGCAAAUUAGCUGGCCCGUCCCCCGACGCCCCAUUGGGCGGGCCGCCCGUCACUCGCCGCGCA